ACCCCAGCUGACUUCUUGACUACAACAUCACAAGAGACCCUGAGAGUCACUCAGCUAAGCCACUCCUCAAAUUCCGCACAACCUGUGAGCUAUUGUUAGCUGUAUUACACUGUUAAGUUUUGGGGUGAUUUGUUUAUAUAACAGUAGAUAACUAAGUUAACCUCUAAGUGAGUAGCUCUUACCUUUUUGAGAAUCUGAUAAAAACUAUGGAUCCUCUCCUCAGAAAAACAUACAGACACAAAAACACAUUGUUCACAGUUUCUGGAGGACCAUAUGUUUCGAUAAAGCCCAUUUAUGGAUCUCAGGUUCAAGACGUUUUCUAUAAAUACUAGAAUAGUCCAAGUGUGGAUUUUCCCCCCAGAAAAUUUCUUUCCUGUGGAUGACUAACUUAAAACAUUUAUUCUUUCCUUUAGUUUAUUUUUCCUUGAGAUGGAAGAACCAGUUGAAGAAGAGCUCCCCCCAACUCUCAGCCCAUUCCCCCAGGCUCUCUCCACCCAGCACAUUUCAGGGAGCAAAGGGGUCAAAUUAACUUUUCUCACGGUUCUAUUUUUAUGACUCAAUUCUUUUGGAGGAGAGAGUCAGGAUGACUGGAGGGAUUUCCAGAAAAGCCAGAAACAGUAAUUACUAGAAAUAUAGGAAGGAAGUGUGUUCUUGAAAGAUUAAAGCUCCAGCGUUGAGAGCUAUGUGAGUUGGCUUGAGCUGUAUUCUCAGGACACAUUGGAGCAUUUAGGGGAAAUCCUACUGCAUUCAUUCUUCAUCCACUUGAACUCCUCCAUCCUUGUUUCACAUAUACCUAUCUACAGGUUGACAUUACCAGAGCAAGGGAGAUGCAUAGGUAUCCCUCCACAUUUCCUACCUGGGAAGAUAAAGAACUGGAAGGGGACACAGACACAGGAAGAAGAGCAAUGAAACUUCCUCUCUGAGGAACAGUGCUGACAUAGGAAAGUGUUCCUAAGAACUUACUGUGCAUCAAACUCACCUGGAAUGCUUAUUAGGGAUAAAUUUGACCAAAGAUGUGCAAGAUCUGUGCACUGCAGAAUCUGAUAACUACAAAAUAUUCCUGACAGAAGUUAAAAAAGACCUAAAUAAGUGGAGAGAAAUUCUGAAUUCAGGGAUUAGAAGCUUCAUACUGUUAUGUGUCACUUCUCCCCAAACUGGUCUGUAGAUUCAAUGCCAUCCCAAUCAAAAUCCCAGAAGCCUCUUUGUAGAAAUUGAAAAACUGGUUCUAAAAUUCAUCAGGAAAUUUAAAGGACCUGAAAUAGCCAAAACAACUUUGAAAAAGAAGAACAAAGUUGGAGGGCUAACUCCACUUGAUUUCAGACUUAUUAUAGAGCUACAAAAAUCAAGACAAUAUUGUAUUGGUAUAAAAAGAGACAAAUAGAAAUCUCAAUAGAACAGAACAGAGAGUCCAGAAAUAGACUCACACAUAUAUGGUCUAUUGAUCUUUAACAAAACUUUCAAGGCAAUUCAAUAAGGGAAAAGAUAAUCUUUUUCAAGAGAUGGUGUGGAAUAAUUGAAGAGGCAUAUGCAAAAAAGAUGAAUCUUGACUUUUACCCCAUAUCUUAUAUAAAAAUUAACUUGAAGGACAAGGAAAGAUUGAGGAAUCGUCAUAGAUUGGAAGAGACUAGGGACAACUAAAUACAAUAUGGAAUUCUGGAUUGGAGGCUAGAACAAAAAAA